AUUCUCCUUUUACAACGUGAGGAUGUGUCAUGUGUAAUCACAAAAAAAUGCCACUUUACCUUAGAUAUUAUGUAACGAGUCGAACGACCAACGUACCACGUAUGUUUAUCAUUCAUCUGUUUCAUCGUUUCAUCACAGCGUAUGAUACGAUAAAAGAUUCACUGACACCAGAAACGAUUUUGCACGAAAGUUCGUCAGUUGCAUGUCCAGCCGUAUCCUUACCAAGCUCUCUGAAACAAUUUAAUAUUCAUAAUUUUAAAAAGCUAUCACUGUAUAUGUAAAAGAAAUGUAUUAUAUAACAU